rnacentral:rRNA from 1 species
AAUAGAUACCCAGGUAGUCCACGCCGUAAACGAUGGAUACUAGCUGUUGGGGGCGACCUCAGUGGCUAAGCGAAAGUGAUAAGUAUCCCACCUGGGGAGUACGUUCGCAAGAAUGAAACUCAAAGGAAUUGACGGGGGCCCGCACAAGCGGUGGAGCAUGUGGUUUAAUUCGAUGAUACGCGAGGAACCUUACCAAGGCUUAAAUGCAGACUGACCGUUUUGGAAACAGAACUUUCGCAAGACAGUCUACAAGGUGCUGCAUGGUUGUCGUCGGCUCGUGCCGUGAGGUGUCAGGUUAAGUCCUAUAACGAGCGCAACCCCUGUUGUUAGUUGCCAGCGAGUAGUGUCGGGAACUCUAACAAGACUGCCAGUGCAAACUGUGAGGAAGGUGGGGAUGACGUCAAAUCAUCCCGGCCCUUACGCCUUGGGCUACACACGUGCUACAAUGGCCGGUACAGAGAGCAGCCACCUCGCGAGGGGGAGCGAAUCUACAAAGCCGGUCACAGUUCGGAUCGGAGUCUGCAACUCGACUCCGU